UACGGAGGGUGCGAGCGUUAAUCGGAAUUACUGGGCGUAAAGCGCGCGUAGGCGGUUAGGUAAGUCGGAUGUGAAAGCCCAGGGCUUAACCUUGGAAUUGCAUUCGAUACUGCUUGACUAGAGUAUGGGAGAGGGAAGUGGAAUUUCCGGUGUAGCGGUGAAAUGCGUAGAUAUCGGGAGGAACAUCAGUGGCGAAGGCGACUUCCUGGACCAAUACUGACGCUGAGGUGCGAAAGCGUGGGGAGCAAACAGG
rnacentral:rRNA from 1 species